GUCUACGGCCACGCUCCCCUGAACAAGCCCAAUCCCGUCAGGUUUCGGAAGCUAAGCAGGGUUGGGUCUGGUUAGUACUUGGAUGGGAGACCACCUAGGAAGACCAGGGAUUGUAAACU
rnacentral:rRNA from 1 species